UUGACACAAAACUUGUCAAGACUCCCCAAGACAUGCCCUCCAACCCCCGGCUGGGAUACCGGGCACCCCACUUUCUUUCACCCACCCCCACAGAAGUACUUUCCCGGAGGUUCCAUGCCGGGAGACUAUCAUACUGCAGGUGGCCCUCCCCGGACGGAGCGCGCACGCGCACGCGCACAGGCGGGGGACUCUCCCGGAGGCCACCUCCGAGCUCCCCCACAUCUCCACCCACGAACCUCGGGCUGGAACCCCGAUUCUGUGAUGCCGUAGUCAUACGUUGCCCCCGAAGGGAACUUGGAGGUUGUGCGUCUUCAGUAAUGGGGAAGGGCGCUGAAAAUCCUAGCUCUCUUUCUGACGGAACUUACACUCUGGCCCCUGGCGAAAGCUACCCGGAGGAGGGGCGCGGUGCGCACACCGGAAGUCACUCUUGCCCACAACAAAUAUGGCUGCAGAGGAGACGGAAGCGCCCACACUUCAGCGCCUCUCUCUCCCCUGGCGGCCUCGCUCUCGAUGGUGGUGUGACCCGGGGACCGGCGGGCGGGGACGCGAUCGCCGGGACGGACGGACGAGCUGUCGGGGGAUUUGUCUCGAAGAGGAGGCUAACCCGUGCAAGUUCAAGCUCGCAGCCCGGGACCUGCAAGACAGAAAGGUCUGCACAUGGUCUGAGUGGUUCCGCAUCCACCGUCUGCUAGUCUUCCCUCCACCUGCCUACCUUAACCUACCCUUUCCCUCUUGGUUGCCUCUUUUUUUUGUACAUGUGUGCCACUCUUGUAGCUUGAACUCAGGGCCUGGGCUCUGUCCCUGAGCUUUUCCACUCCAGGCCACCAUUUGAACCACAGCUUCACUUCUGGCUUUUUGCUGAUCAAGAGACCAGUCUCACCAGCUUUUCUGCUUCACUUACUUUCCAACUGAGAUUCUCAGGUCUUAGCCUCCUGAGGAGCGAGGAUUUCAGGCCUGAGCACCAUCACCUGGCUUUGCCCAUCUGUUCUCUACACAUUAAGAAACAUCAGCCCAGCCGGGUAUGAGCCACUAGCACCCAGCUUCACUGUGUCAUUCUUAUCUCCGCUUAACUGGCAAGACCAGAAGUGGAACUGUGGGUCAAGUGGUAGAGUGCCAGCCUUGAGACAAAAAGCCAAGGGAAGAGAAGCACAGGCCUGGAGUCUAUGCCCCAGUACUGGCACCAAAAGGAAAACAAAACAAAAAACCUAGCAUGAUGCUAGGCAGCAACGUGAAAUGAUUGCAAGAUAACGAGAAGGCAAGGUUUACUAGCGCUUGGGUAGCUCGCUGAUGCUCCCCAAGAUGAGCUCAUUCAUCCAUCCUUUACAACGAGGACAGGGGAGGGGAGAGGGGCACGGGACCCAUCUUUGCCCACCUUUGGGGAAGUGGUUGCACCCUAGUCACACCGGCAUGGAUUGGCCACUCGCGUCCUGGGCCGCGGCCUCUCCACGCAGAGUCCCGCGUCCUGCCGCGACCUCGUGGGUGCCAGGGCAGCUCUGCUGCCUCUCCCUC